CGGACGGGUGAGUAAUGUCUGGGAAACUGCCUGAUGGAGGGGGAUAACUACUGGAAACGGUAGCUAAUACCGCAUAACGUCGCAAGACCAAAGAGGGGGACCUUCGGGCCUCUUGCCAUCAGAUGUGCCCAGAUGGGAUUAGCUAGUAGGUGGGGUAACGGCUCACCUAGGCGACGAUCCCUAGCUGGUCUUGGAGGAUGAUCAGCCACACUGGGACUGAGACACGGCCCAG
rnacentral:rRNA from 1 species